rnacentral:rRNA from 1 species
UACGGGGGGUGCGAGCGUUGUCCGGAAUCACUGGGCGUAAAGAGCGCGUAGGCGGAGCGUUAAGUCCGAUCUGAAAGCCCCCGGCUCAACCGGGGAGAGUGGUUGGAAACUGGCGCUCUUGAGGGCGAUAGAGGAGGGUGGAAUUCCUGGUGUAGCGGUGAAAUGCGUAGAGAUCAGGAGGAACACCAGUGGCGAAGGCGGCCCUCUGGGUCGACCCUGACGCUGAGGCGCGAAAGCGUGGGGAGCGAACGGG